GACUAUCUUGAUUCUGUCAUAAAAUCGUCAUGGAUGUACAUGCAUGAAAGAAAACGCGACCUACUGUGACAAACACGUAUCAUCACGGAAGUUUUUUUUGUAGUGUGCAACACGAUGGCUGCUGUAGCCAAGCAACAGAGGCGGAGGUCGAGGUCGUCGACCCUGGCGACGUCUUCAUGACCCGGGGUUGGGGCGCGAUCGCCCGCUCCUGUAACUCGGAGGGGAGGCACACCAUCCAAUUUGAGUACGAUGGGGCUUCUACACUCCUCUUCAAGGUCUUUGGGGAGGACGGCUGAUGCCUGUAAUGCUGCCCCAUGGGAGGCGUCCGAGGCAGCGGCUCCCCCAUGGGUUGGCGAGGCGACGAGGACACAAGUGGUGAGCUUGCCCUUGGCCUUGUCCGCGACUCCUCCAACAGCAACAAUCUUUCAUCUGAACCUAGCUCAUUGUCAUGCCCAAUAUGCGAUCCUAUCCGAGAGGGACUCGAAGGUCCCACCAAGGAUAGAGCCGCAUAUUGAAACGCUUUGCAAGGUGGAUAUCAUUAUAUCAUACCAUUACAUAAUAGAUGAGGAUCCAUGCAAAGGGCAUACAAUUCCACAUGAAUAUAACAACAUCAUACAUAAGAGCAACAUCCGUCUACGGAUGAAACACAAACAGAAACUCAAACGACAUCCACCCUAAUAGCCCAGGCUGCCGACCAGGAACCUAGCCCCUGAACGAAGAAGAAGUAGAAGACGAACUCCAAAACAAGAAAGCAUCGCUCUCACAUCAUGAUCAUCACAUUACCUAUACCUGCAAUUGUUGUUGUAGUAAUCUAUGAGCCACGAGGACUCAGCAAUCCCAUUACCAUGGGUAUCAAGACAAGCAAAGCUAAAUGGGAAUGGAACGGAUAAGUGGUGCGGUUGCAGCAAGCGACUAAGCAAUGCAUGGUGGCUAACUUAUGAGUACAAGAAUAAGAUGAGAAUCUACACAAACGGUCGCGAACUAGUAAUGAUCACCAAGUGAUUCUGAACUACUUAUGUUCAAACAUAACCCCACCGUGUUCUCUUCUUGAAUUCACCCGAAAAGAGACCAUCACGGUUACACACGCGGUUGGUGUAUUUUAAUUCGAAUCUGGUGUUAAGUUCUCUACAACCGGACAUUAAAAAUUCCCAUAUGCCACAUAACCACGGGCACGGCUUUUGAAAGAUCAAACCCUGCAGGGGUGUCCUAACUUAGCCCGUGAUAAGCUCAUGAUCCGCGGAGACAAUCCUCCAUCGCAGGAUAUCCGACCUAACUCGGGAUCCCGGUGCACAAGACAUUUUGACAAUGGUAAAACUAAUCCAGCAAGACCUCCCAGCAUGCCGACACCCUGAUAGUAGCCGCGCGUAUCUCGUCUCAAGCCAUGUCCGUAUGAGCACAACAUACAACAACUGAGACCCAAGUUGCCCCGGGGGAAGCCGCACAUGACUCUAGUUUGGACCAUCACCAUCAGCACUGCCCCCUGUAGGCAGAAAAGAAUCCUCGGGUUCAUGACGCCCUAUGCCAAUUAAUUAUUUAGUUCAAGUAUUAUUAUGUAGGAAAAUGGUAAAACCAAUGUUGGGCCUUGCUGGAAGAGUUUUAUUCAAAGUGAACUGUCAAGAGGGGCCCAUAAACCCUCACUGUGUUAGAGACGCAAAAUCAAGGAACAUAACACCGGUAUGAUAGAAACUAGAGCGGAAAGAGUGGAACAAAACACCAGGCAUAAGGCCCGGCCUUCCACCCUUUACCAAGUAUAUAUGUCCAUUAAUUAAAUAAGAGAUAUUGUGAUAUCCCAAGAUAUCCAUGUCCCAACAUGGAACAACCUACAACUGCACCUGCAACUAGCAACGCUAUAAGAGGGGCCGAGCAAAGCAGUAACAUAGCCAAACAACAGUCUGCUGGGAUGUUGGAAAAGGUUACAGGCUGUUUCAUGGCAUAUAGGAAGGCUUUAUAAACAAGUGGUAGGAAGCGCGACAUAGCGAUAGCAUCAAGACAACUAGCAUGGCAAUGAUUGUAGUGAGAUCCAAGGUAACUGUCAUCUUGCCUGAAAUCCCGCUAGGAAGGAGAACGAGUCCAUGAAGAAGACAAACGGGCGUAGACGAACCAAGCAUAGUCGAACAAAUCCUCACGAUCGCAACAAAAUUGGAACUAUCGAGAAGAAGAACAACCGGAAAGAAGCAAACAACAUGGUAAACACACAACUCAUAAACAUGGCCUGAUGCUCACCCAAGUAUGAUGCAUGACAAGGCUAUAUGAUGCUACUCAUGUCAAGGGAUGAUGCAUACAAGAACAUCACAUCAAAGCAAGUUCAAAUGAGGCCUGAAACAACAUAUAACAAUUCUGUUAGGUCCUCAUAUGCAAAUUCGAAAUUGGUUCAGAUAUGAACAAAACAUUAGGUUGAAAUUGUUAACAGGAAGUUAAAGUGCACCAUGAUGAUCUACACGAAAUUCUAGUCAAGUUACACAUAAUGUUCAUUUAAUUCGGAGCUACGGCCUAGAAGAUAUGAGCAAAACAAGUCAAACAUGGGAUUGAUGCAAAAUGCAUCCAAACAUCAAGCAAACACUCUCAAGAAAUGGAUGCAACAAGAUAAUAUCAAACCACAUGCAAUUCUAAGAAAGUUUCAUAUAGAGCAUGCUCAAAACAGAGCAACGGUUCCACUUACACCCAAAACAAGAUAUAACAAUCUGCCCAAAACAGCAAGUAGGCAUUUUGCAAUCAUCAAAACAACAUGCUACAAGAAUUAUACAUAGCAACCAAGGGAAUGGCAUUAAAGUACAUAUAACAAAGAGCAAAUAACAGCAAUGCAUCAUAUGCAUAUGGGUCAUGGAUUAGUGGGAACCAAGAAGACAAGUUUGAAAUUUAAAAUAGUUUCAGCAAGUGUAAAACAUCAUCAUUAUCAUAGCAUGUUUGCAAUCUUAGAACAGAGGUCAUAUGAAGUCCAAAAUUAUCAAACUUGGCAUGUAAACAUAUUACUGAUAGCAUACUUCAGUUCAUGUAACUGGACCAUCUCCAGAGGAGGCAUAGAUUAAUCAAUAUCAAGCUGACAACAUGGCAUCAUGAAGUUAACAGAAAACUGGAACAUCAUUUAGGCAAGUUCAUAGAAACUAAAACAUAUGCCACAGAACAUCUUUAAUACAUCAAAUGGCACGGCAUGAUAGAGAAUAACAUAGAAAUCAGAACAUGUCAACUAAGCAUCUCCAGAUUAUUCAUGGACUUGAUGGUAGCAUCAAGCAAACAUUGCAACAUAAGAUAACAGAUUCAAACUUGACAGAAUAUUAAUAGCAAGUGACCCACUUCACAAGCUUGAUGCCCUCACUACAGGGUAUAUCCAAAUACAUGGAUUGCAACACUGCAAAUAUGGCAUGAUUAUACUCCUAAAACAUGUUGACAUGAUGCUCAAAAG
rnacentral:lncRNA from 1 species